CCAAGUUGAUCCAGUGGUUUUACUGCAGCUUUCUCACUGCGACUGUGACAUGCUCGUUGUGACCUUAGAAGUCCCUAAUCAACAUUUAGGAAACCUGCAUAGAGUAGAUCCAGAAACUCUUGAGUCCUGGAGAGCUGAACUCCUGGAUGUGGUUGUGAAGUCAGUCGUGUUUCCGACAGAUGGAACAGCUGUAAAGUCAGCAAGCUCUAAUGUGCUAAAUGCUAAUGCAGAAUCUGAGCGAUGCACUGACUCAACUUUAAAAAAUUUAAAUGAAAUGUAACAAAACAAAGAAUACACGUUCCUGUUUCAGCAAACAUGUCUUUGUUCCGACUGAACAGAAUCUGACUGACUGGCUGGCUGCACGUCUGUCUUCCAUCUUCAUGCUGCUCAUGUAACCCACACUGCAGACCUGGAGUGAGCGGCAGGUGUCGUCAUGGAAACAAUGGUUUAAGAAAGCUGGUUAUGUGUGCGAUGAAUGGAGGGGGGGCAGAUGUAACUGAGGCCGAGAUGAGUCUGUCUAAGGCUGGACGGUGGGAGGAGGAGAAGAAGCUGCAGCACGCAAGACUUCCUGUCAUUGUGUGUCUGUCUGAUGGAGCUGCUGGGAGGUAAACCGAGUGCCUUGCUCAAGGACUGUCAGAACCAGCAGCAGAGUGGCGUGAGGCAGGAGGCGUGGCCUUCACUACCUGGUGGCCCAGCACACCUGUUUCCCAUGUCUAAUGGAUGCACCUAUAAAAGCCUCUCCCUGGCUCCUCCAGCUGCCAGGUUAUUUACGUUGAGUUUGGCUCCUUCCUGGUUAAUAGUAAAAGCUUUUCGACGGCCUAGCUCCCUCCCUCUGCUACCAGUGUUCUUCUGUUAUUCGUUUUUAUGUUUGUGAGGUUAAUAAACCUUCACUGCUGUUCCAUCUCACCUGACUCUGCUCUGGGAUCUGUCCACUCACCACAACAAAACAGCUGUUACACAGUCAUUCU